rnacentral:rRNA from 1 species
AGGUGGUGCAUGGUUGUCGUCAGCUCGUGUCGUGAGAUGUUGGGUUAAGUCCCGCAACGAGCGCAACCCUAUUGCUAGUUACCAUCAUUAAGUUGGGGACGUCUAGCGAGACUGCCAGUGAUAAACUGGAGGAAGGUGGGGAUGACGUCAAAUCAUCAUGCCCCUUAUGACCUGGGCUACAAACGUGAUACAAUGGCUGGAACAAAGGGAUGCGAAGCAGUGAUGUGGAGCGAAACCCAUAAAAACAGUCUCAGUUCGGAUUGAAGUCUGCAACUCGACUUCAUGAAGUCGGAAUCGCUAGUAAUCGCGGAUCAGAACGCCGCGGUGAAUACGUUCUCGGGGGUUU